rnacentral:rRNA from 1 species
UACGUAGGGUGCGAGCGUUGUCCGGAAUUAUUGGGCGUAAAGGGCUCGUAGGCGGUUUGUCGCGUCGGGAGUGAAAACGCCGUGCUUAACACGGCGCUUGCUUUCGAUACGGGCAGACUAGAGGUAUUCAGGGGAGAACGGAAUUCCUGGUGUAGCGGUGAAAUGCGCAGAUAUCAGGAGGAACACCGGUGGCGAAGGCGGUUCUCUGGGAAUGACCUGACGCUGAGGAGCGAAAGCAUGGGGAGCGAACAGG